CAUUAUACAGCGAAACUGCGAAUGGCUCAUUAUAUAAGUUAUCGUUUAUUUGAUAGUGCCUACUACUUGGAUAACCCGUGGUAAUUCUAGAGCUAAUACAUGCUAAAAAUCCCGACUUCGGAAGGGAUGUAUUUAUUAGAUUAAAAACCAAUGCCCUCGGGCUCUUUGGUGAUUCAUGAUAACUUCUCGAAUCGCACGGCCUUGCGCCGGCGAUGGCUCAUUCAAAUUUCUUCCCUAUCAACUUUCGAUGUUUGGGUAGUGGCCAAACAUGGUUGCAACGGGUAACGGAGGGUUAGGGCUCGACCCCGGAGAAGGAGCCUGAGAAACGGCUACUACAUCCAAGGAAGGCAGCAGGCGCGCAAAUUACCCAAUCCCGAUUCGGGGAGGUAGUGACAAUAAAUACUGAUACAGGGCUCUUUCGGGUCUUGUAAUCGGAAUGAGUACAAUUUAAAUCCCUUAACGAGGAACAAUUGGAGGGCAAGUCUGGUGCCAGCAGCCGCGGUAAUUCCAGCUCCAAUAGCGUAUAUUAAAGUUGUUGUGGUUAAAAAGCUCGUAGUUGAACCUUGGGCCUGGCUGGCCGGUCCGCCUCACCGCGUGUACUGGUCCGGCCGGGUCUUUCCCUCUGUGGAACCCCAUGCCCUUCACUGGGUGUGGCGGGGAAACAGGACUUUUACUUUGAAAAAAUUAGAGUGCUCCAGGCAGGCCUAUGCUCGAAUACAUUAGCAUGGAAUAAUGAAAUAGGACGUGCGGUUCUAUUUUGUUGGUUUCUAGGACCGCCGUAAUGAUUAAUAGGGACAGUCGGGGGCAUCAGUAUUCAAUUGUCAGAGGUGAAAUUCUUGGAUUUAUUGAAGACUAACUACUGCGAAAGCAUUUGCCAAGGAUGUUUUCAUUAAUCAGGAACGAAAGUUAGGGGAUCGAAAACGAUCAGAUACCGUUGUAGUCUUAACCAUAAACUAUGCCGACUAGGGAUCGGACGAUGUUAUUUUUUGACUCGUUCGGCACCUUACGAUAAAUCAAAGUGCUGGCUCCA
rnacentral:rRNA from 1 species